CAACUUUCAACAAUGGAUCUCUUGGCUCUCGCAUCGAUGAAGAACGCAGCGAAAUGCGAUACGUAAUGUGAAUUGCAGAAUUCCGUGAAUCAUUGAAUUUUUGAACGCACCUUGCGCCCCUUGGUAUUCCGAGGGGCAUGCCUGUUUGAGUGUAAUUG
rnacentral:rRNA from 1 species